rnacentral:rRNA from 1 species
UACGGAGGGUGCAAGCGUUAUCCGGAUUCACUGGGUUUAAAGGGUGCGUAGGCGGGUUGGUAAGUCCGUGGUGAAAUCUCCAAGCUUAACUUGGAAACUGCCGUGGAUACUAUCAAUCUUGAAUGUCGUGGAGGUAAGCGGAAUAUGUCAUGUAGCGGUGAAAUGCUUAGAGAUGACAUAGAACACCAAUUGCGUAGGCAGCUUACUACACGAAUAUUGACGCUGAGGCACGAAAGCGUUGGGGAGCAAACGGG